rnacentral:rRNA from 1 species
GAUGAACGCUGGCGGCGUGCCUAAUACAUGCAAGUCGAGCGAACGGACGAGAAGCUUGCUUCUCUGAUGUUAGCGGCGGACGGGUGAGUAACACGUGGAUAACCUACCUAUAAGACUGGGAUAACUUCGGGAAACCGGAGCUAAUACCGGAUAAUAUUUUGAACCGCAUGGUUCAAAAGUGAAAGACGGUCUUGCUGUCACUUAUAGAUGGAUCCGCGCUGCAUUAGCUAGUUGGUAAGGUAACGGCUUACCAAGGCAACGAUGCAUAGCCGACCUGAGAGGGUGAUCGGCCACACUGGAACUGAGACACGGUCCAGGCUCCUACGGGAGGCAGCAGUAGGGAAUCUUCCGCAAUGGGCGAAAGCCUGACGGAGCAACGCCGCAUGAGUGAUGAAGGUCUUCGGAUCGUAAAACUCUGUUAUUAGGGAAGAACAUAUGUGUAAGUAACUGUGCACAUCUUGACGGUACCUAAUCAGAAAGCCACGGCUAACUACGUG